UUAAGCUACUAAGAGCAUAGGGUGAAUGCCUUGGCACCAAGAGCCGAUGAAGGACGUGAUAAGCUGCGAAAAGCUGUGGGGAGAAGCAAAUAUUCAUUAUAUCCACAGAUAUCCGAAUGAGGAAACUCAACUAGUGGUAAAAGACUAGUUAUCCAUAUAUGAGUAAAGUAGUAUAUGUGAAGGGAACGCAGGGAACUGAAACAUCUAAGUACCUGCAGGAAAAGAAAGAAAACUCGAUUCCUUGAGUAGUGGCGAGCGAAAGAGGAAGAGCCUAAACCAGAAGAAGUAAUUCAUCUGGGGUAAAGGACUACAAAAUUGAUUCAUGAGAUUUAGCAGAAUUGUUUGGGAAAGCAGACCAAAGAUAGUGAAAGUCUAGUAAGCGAAAAAUCAAAUGACAUGGUAGUAUCCAGAGUAGUGCGAGACACGUGUAAUCUCGUAUGAAGAAGUGGGGACCACCCCAUAAGGCUAAAUACUACUUGGUGACCGAUAGUGAAGCAGUACCGUGAGGGAAAGGUGAAAAGAACCCCGGGAGGGGAGUGAAAGAGAACCUGAAACCCUAUGUUUACAAGCAGACAAAGCACGUUAAGGUGCGAUGUCGUACUUUUUGUAGAACGGUCCGGCGAGUUAUUUUAUAUGGCAAGGUUAAGUACUUAAGGUACGAAGCCGAAGAGAAAUCGAGUCUGAAAAGGGCGAAUAAGUCAUAUGAAAUAGACCCGAAACCGGGUGACCUAUCCAUGGUCAGGUUGAAGCUUGAGUAAAAUCAAGUGGAGGACCGAACCCAUAAGCGUUAAAAAGCUUCGGGAUGAACUGUGGAUAGCGGAGAAAUUCCAAUCGAACUCGGAGAUAGCUGGUUCUCCUCGAAAUAGUUUUAGGACUAGCCUUGUUUAGUAGUACGUGGGGGUAGAGCACUGAAUGAGCUAGGGGCCAAACCAGGUUACCGAACUCUAUCAAACUCCGAAUACCAUGUAUGUAAGAACAGGAGUCAGACUGUGGGAGCUAAGUUCCAUGGUCAAAAGGGAAAGAGCCCAGAUCGUCAAUUAAGGUCCCAAAGAUAUAGUUAAGUGGAAAACGAUGUGAUUUUGCGUAAACAACCAGGAUGUUGGCUUAGAAGCAGCCAUGCAUUUAAAGAGUGCGUAAUAGCUCACUGGUCGAGUGAAGUUGCGCGGAAAAUUACCGGGGCUAAACUAUACACCGAAAUUGCGGAUUUAUACGAUAGUAUAAGUGGUAGAGGAGCAUUCUAUAGUAGGACGAAGCAUGACUGAAAAGACAUGUGGACGAGAUAGAAGAGAGAAUGCCGGAAUAAGUAGCGAAAGCAUGGUGAGAAUCCAUGCCAUCGAAAGUCUAAGGUUUCCUGGGGAAGGUUCGUCCGCCCAGGGUAAGUCGGGACCUAAGGUGAGGCCGAAAGGCGUAGCCGAUGGACAGCAGGUAGAAAUUCCUGCACCACCGAUAUACUUAAAAAGCACAAGGGACACAGGAGUGGAAGAGAAGCGAGGAAGAGGAAAGACUCGUAUCGAAAGAUAUAGUGAAAAUAAAGUAACGAAUUCUCAAGAAGCACACUGGCGAGAAAAGCUUGUGAGUCUUGUAUAUAGGUGCCCGUACCGCAAACCGACACAGGUAGAUGAGGAGAGGAUCCUAAGAUGAGCGAGAGAAGCAUUGUUAAGGAACUCGGCAAACUAACCCCGUAACUUAGGGAGAAGGGGUACCAUAUGAAAGUAUGGUCGCAGAGAAGAGGCCCAAGCAACUGUUUAACAAAAACACAGGUUUCUGCUAAAUCGAAAGAUGAAGUAUAGGAGCUGACACCUGCCCAGUGCUGGAAGGUUAAGGGGAAAUGUAAGUACUUGAUACGAAGCAUAGAACCAAAGCCCCAGUGAACGGCGGCCGUAACUAUAACGGUCCUAAGGUAGCGAAAUUCCUUGUCAGGUAAGUUCUGACCCGC
rnacentral:rRNA from 1 species